GGUUCAACAUCUCUGAAUACUGUUUUCUCAAAAGGAAAUUAGAAAGAAAAGGAAUAUCUUAUCUAUAAAUUGUCUUAAGAAUUCAAUUGAAUAAGAAAAUGUAAAUAAAGUAUCUACCAUUCUAACUGAAAUGUUAAAUAUUAAUUCACUAUUAGAUAUUCAUUAACCACUAUCAUUAUAUGAUUCCUAACUACAUCCACAUAGAACAGGAUAUAAAAAAUGGGAAGGGAUUAAAUACUAUACUUCUGGGAUUCUGAAAAAUAAGCUGGAUAUCGAUUUACCCUCAUUUCCUUUUUUUCUCUAAAGAUGGUCUGGAGAAUCUCACUUCCUACUUCUCAGGAAGCUAAAUGGGAAUUCCAGCAUUCUGAGGUGAGGGUUUCCUCAACUAGCCCACCAUGGAGAAGGUGAUACAGGACUGAGUGGAAGAAAGGCCACUGACUCGGAAUACUGGGAGACUUGUCAAGUCAUCUAGCACGUCUGACUGUCAAUCCAUACAUAAAACAGAGAAAUACACACCAACGUGAGACAAAAAGAACUGGAGUCUGGUGAGAUAGAGAAGAACUAGAGAGUACACACAGAACAUAAAUAGGACAUGUGUGGUACAAGAAGAGGAGAAGUCAAGAUUCAGCUGGACAGAGGCUCCCUGAGUCAGCAUUUCCAAUGGUUUGUUUCAUGUUUAUCCAGUCUCUAUGGUGUUUUAUACAGGUUUUGUUGAAAAGAGCCAUGUGGGCAAGUUAAGUUGAAAAAUUUGGAUUAAGCAAAUGUGAUCAGGUUCCUUUAUUCUUCUUAGUGCUCUGUGCUAAUACAUAUGGAACCCAAUGGGAGGGGAAGACAGAGGUGGGAGGAUGUCCCAACUUAUUUCAACACAAACCCCAUUUUUUAUAGAGCAGCCAGUGAGAUUAGUACUUCAUAAAACACACUUGAGAACAUCUUAUCAAGAAAAACUAAAAGUUUAUAUGAAUUCUUACAGAGGUGGAAUUGAAUGUUAUCACUAGAAUUUUGCGAUUUUUAAUUUGUUAUAUGGUUCAGUAAACAAAAAAAUGAUAAUAAAAUUUCAGAGUAUCUAUUUGAACAAGGUUGUCCCUACUGAAACACUCCAGUCAAUGCCCCCACUGGCAGAAUAGGCAAAGCAGUAAAUCUGCAGCACACAUUUUGUUACUGAAACACCAGGGUUCAGUCGAGGUCCUGCUGCUGGCGACACAGAAAGCCAAUCACUGAGACAACAUGUACUCCAGGGAAGAAGGCUUUAAUCAGUCUCUCCAGCCAAGGAGAUGGGAGCUCAGUCUCAAAUCCAUCUCCCUGACUGACUAAAAUUAGGGGGUUAUAUGGCAGGGAAGAAAUGUAACCAUGUGUGGGAAAACAGUAACUAAGGAGGGGUAAGGAAGCAGUCCUAAUGAAUGAGGAGCCUAGUGUCUCAUUGUCUGGAUGCCGUGAUCUUGUGAGUUUCAGUUCUUUGAUACUUUUUGAGAGGCCUGGGGGUCCUCUUCUGAGGAAAGAACUCAGAUAAAACAAAUGUAAGUUUUAAGCUUUAAGGCCAGAAGGGGCAAUUCCUAUCUUUAUCCAAAAAAGCUAUCUAUGGGACUAUUGGGUCAGUUUCAAUUUGAGAACAGCACCUCAAGAAAGGGCCACAUCUUACACUGUGUUCACUUGUGCACAGUCUCAUUGAGAGUUGUAGUUUUGCAUAUAGGACAUUUCAAUAAAAUGGAAACACACAAUUAUGGGUACCCUACACGUGGAGCAUGAGGUCACAGCCCAGCAACUCCAUCUGGGGCCAUUUCACCCAAGCUGCAAAUAUAGUGUCUAGAAAAGCUAUUAGUGUCGAGAAUGUUGACCUUACAAACCAGUUAUUUAAAGUGAUCAUAGUUUGCAGAAAAGAUUACCUUCUGAAAGAGGUAAGAGACCCCAAUCAAUAUAAUCUGAGUAUCUUAAGUAAAAUUAGGAAAAUAUCUCAGAAAUUAUUGUUGGGAAACUUGAUGUGGUUGUUAUGCAAGCAAUCCAGGAAAAAAACAACCAAACACACACAGACUAACAAAUAAACCCUCCCUAUUCAUUGUCAGGCCCAGUGUAAGCCAUCAGCUAGGAUAUGUUGUUUUGCUGAUGGUGAGGUCACAGGGCAAAAAGAACAUGAGAUCAUUCAGUAAACAAGACCAACUGGAAAACUAGUUUUGCAUCCCCAUGCCCAACCACCCAUCAGUCACAUGCUUACAUUUAGGUAUGUUAGCUAACUACAUCUCUCUACAAAAACCAUGCAUAUUUCACAAUCCCCAAAUGGGUCACAAAGUCAUUCAUGGGUCUUAUUUUUAUCCAGUCUCCCAGGAGCAAACAUCUGGUGCUUAUUACUGGGUACAGGCACAUUGAAUUUGUAGCAUAGAAAUGUGUCUUAAACACAAUUCUAAAAUGUUUUCAUCAUUUAUAUUUUAGAUAGAUUAUGAAGAUUUCUAUUUUAUAAUCUUUCCACAAAUUGUGUGUGUGCUUGUGUGUGUGCAACAGGUUUUUAAAGAAAAUCACCCCCAUGGCCUCCUAUUUAGUAAAGCAGGGUAUAGGUGUGUGUCAACAGUUGAACUAUUCUGUGGUUACCCAUCACGGGUUAUGUCAACAUAGUGCGUAAAAAUAUUAUGGAAGAAGAACACGAUACAAGUGUGAGACUAAUAUGUCCUACUCUGCUAGAUUAUAAAGUUAUAAGGAGUAUUUAUUAAGUUUUACUUAUUUUUGUGUACUUUUUGUUUCUCCUGAAACAUGCAUUGAAUGAAUGAAUGAAUCAAUCAAUCAAUCAAUGAGUAACAAAGGGAAAAGUUCAUUUCCCAGAGGGCAUGGUGAGUCUAGUGAUUGGAAACAUUCUUCUCUUUAUGGAGGGCAAAUAUCUUAUUUUGCCACCAUUUUGUCUACAAGGCACCUACACUUCCUGUUUGCAAACCAAAAUGGGUUGGCAAUGAAAUUGUCAGAAUGCCGUCCAGAGCUGCUGCUCUUGACUUACAGCUAGUGAAGCCCCUCUAAACUCAGUCAAAGUCGGCUUCCUGUCCCAGGAAAUUCAAGGAGGAACUGGUACUGGAGUUAGUGGUCCUCAAUUGGGUUUACCUCCAUUAAUCUGGGCCCAAAGAGUUAACAAAUUAUUAUCAUAAAAGAAGUAGUGAAAUAGUCCUACUGAGUAGAAGGUGCAUGUCAAUUCAUGAAGAGUGAUUGAUGCUGUGAAAGUUAAAUAAUUUUUUACUGAAAUAAGUAUCUCUCUAUUUUUAGCUGUUUGAAAGAUAAUUUAUGAAGUCUUCAUCUUUACUUCCCUCUCUUUUCAUUAGAAAGCAUGAGUUUCUGGCCUGUGGCAUUUAGCUAAUGCUUUCAUUUGUCAUUCAAGAGUAGAAAUUUUGUUGAACACUUUUUUUGAAAUCCUAGGUUCAAUUUUCCUAAACACUUAGCAUUAUAAUCUGCACAUGUCUUUUCAAGUUGAUGUAAGGUGUGUGUUAAUAAUGAAUGUUAAAAAAGGAAAAGCUCUACCUCCUUAGAGAAGACUUUUUCUAACUGAGGGAAAGAAUGUCUGUGCUUCAGCAAGGGAGUGCCCUGUGCCCUGUGGCAUAGCUCUUACAUUACAGGCUUUUAAUGGUUUUCGGAAGAGUUAUGAUUUUUCGUGAUUAUUAAGGAAAUAUGUGAAAAUAAUAGAAAUGUAGAAAUGGAAAUAAAAAUAUAGAAAACCUACAUUAAAAAAAAUCCUAUACAAACCCAUACCUCAGAGAAAAAUAAUUUCAAUAUUUUAGUAUACUUCCUGCCUAUCAUUUCAAUAUUUCAUUUUGAGAUUAAACUAUGCAAUGUACACAGUUCUCUCCUGAUUGUUUCACACAAGAUUAUAUUGAAAGUCUUUGGGUCAUUCAUUUGAACCUAAUUGGAAACAUACUUUAGAAAUGAGUAUGCUAUUUAGCUAGUAAAUAACCACCUAUUAAACCUGUCCUUGGUUUUUUUAAUAUUUAUGUUGAAGGUAAGUUCUAAAUACUUUUGAUCAUGAUUUCAUAUUUCAGAAUGCAUUUCUAAAAAUAGAACUACUGAAUCAAAGGCCAUGGACAUUUUUAAGGUCCUUGAUACAUAUUUUUAAAAUAAUAAUCAGAAAGACUGUACUAAUUUAUAUUUCAAAUAGCAUAGUCUAAGAGUCCAUCUCAUCCUAUUACUUCACCUCAAACAAUUUUAAUCCUCAAAAAUUAUAAAAAGAAAAAUUCACCAUAUACUAUCUUACCAUUAUUUGAUUAUCAAUGGAUUGGAUUUUCUUGUGUUUUAUUAGCCAUGUAUAUUCCCUCUUUAGUCAAGUCUGUUAAUGUCUUUGCCCAUUUUUAUUGUCAUUGGGUGUGUGUGCACACUUAUACCUGGGCGUGUGUUUGUAGGUGUGUGCCUGUUUCAUAUUCUCUGCCUUGAUUAUUGUGUUUUUAAUGACCAAAAAUAUUUACAUUUUAUGCCCUCAAAUCUAAAAUAUUUUAUUUUGUAAUCUUUGCUUUUAGCUUCUAAGCCUAGCUAAAUCCAUAACUUGUAGUCAUAAAUUUGCCCCUAACUACUUCACUUUCUUCAUCCUUUCUCUCUAUUAUUUUCCUACUUCUUCAUUCUUUUCCUUUCGUUUAUCUCAUCGUGAAAUUUGUGUGAAAUCCACCUGGAAUUUUGGAAGUGGAUUGUGAGGGCACUUAUGAUAAAUUUCACAUUUUGUAAGUUGCAUUAAGUUAGAAACAUUCAUUUUUAUUAGUUAAGGAUUUUUAGUAAAUUAUAUGACAAUUUUAAAAUAAAUUUCCAAAAUUUUACAUUUUAUCCAUAGAAAAUAUUAUCUGGAUUUUUCAUUUAAUUUUAUAAUUCUAAAGUCCAUAACUGUGAUAGUACAUAAUAUAAAACAUGCAGUUUUUAAAUUUUUCCUAAAAAUUUAGGCAGUAAAAAAUAAUCGAAAUAUGUUUUUGAGUUGCGUUCUUUCACCAAUGCUUUCCCUUGAUUUGUAAUGCAAUGUUAUCAUAUAUUAAAUUCUUACAGAUAGUUUUGGGGACUCAACUUUGCCACACAAUGUCUUAUGUUCUUUUACCAGAUCAACACUAAUAAAAGUAGUAGUUAUUAGAGGUUAAUUGUGUUUUAAUAUUUAGUGGUAAAAUUUCUCUCAUUAAUCUCUCUUUUUUUUCAAAUAUUUCUUACUGCCCAUAACGUUUCAUUUUCAAAUAUCCUUUACUAUCCAUAAUGUUUCAUGCAUCUAUCCAUGUUUUUAUAUAUCUCGUGUUGCAUAAUUUUAGGUAGAAUGUCUUUAUUGUCAACAUUCCUCUAAUAAGUUUACUGAAAUAAAUCUAUGUAUUUGAAAGGGUGCAAAUGUGAUAAGAAAAUCAAGUUUUUACCAUACAGGUUUUUUUCAGAUUUAUUAAAAACUGUAUAACUAUUUUCACUUAGUGGUUUGUUUUUGAAUACUGG
rnacentral:lncRNA from 10 species